UGUCCAGGGAUGGAAAUCGAACCCACAAUGUUCCGCUUACCGGGCAGAUGCCAUGUCCAUUAGGCACAGUGUCCCUGGAC
rnacentral:tRNA from 1 species